rnacentral:lncRNA from 1 species
UCCGGGCGGCGAGCAGAAGAGGAAUUGGGUCGAAAAGACCGGGAGCUAUCUGGUAAUGGGUGCCGCCUUGUUGGUUGCUGCCUGCCCCUUUAUUUGUCUGGUAUGCCGAAAGUAACGUUUCGUUUGUUUGCAGUGCUCAAGGUGAACACCAAAAAGCACCUGGAUGACCUGAUCAAGGACCGGGACUCCUGGAAGGUCAACUGUUGCAGGAUCUGGAAAGGAGUGUCCCCGGUCCUGGACCUGAUCAGUCCCGAGCUCCCGGAGAGCCAGCCCCGCGCGCCGCAGUUGACCCCGGUCGAGAAGGCGCAACGGGCGUGGGACUGGC